rnacentral:rRNA from 1 species
CACGUAGGAGGCGAGCGUUGUCCGGAAUCAUUGGGCGUAAAGAGCGCGCAGGCGGCUUGGCAAGUCGGGUGUGAAAUCCCGGGGCUCAACCCCGUGACUGCAUCCGAUACUGUCAGGCUAGAGGUAGGUAGGGGAGAUCGGAAUUCCUGGUGUAGCGGUGAAAUGCGCAGAUAUCAGGAGGAACACCGGUGGCGAAGGCGGAUCUCUGGGCCUUACCUGACGCUCAGGCGCGAAAGCGUGGGGAGCGAACAGG